GUUGAACGCUGGCGGCGUGCCUAAUACAUGCAAGUCGAGCGAACGGACGAGAAGCUUGCUUCUCUGAUGUUAGCGGCGGACGGGUGAGUAACACGUGGAUAACCUACCUAUAUGACUGGGAUAACUUCGGGAAACCGGUGCUAAUACCGGCUAAUAUUUUGAACCGCAUGGUUCAAAAGUGAAAGACGGUUUUGCUGUCACUUAUAGCUGGAUCCGCGCUGCAUUAGCUAGUUGGUAAGGUAACGGCUUACCAAGGCAACGAUGCAUAGCCGACCUGAGAGGGUGAUCAGCCACACUGGAACUGAGACACGGUCCAGACUCCUACGGGAGGCAGCAGUAGGGAAUCUUCCGCAAUGGGCGAAAGCCUGACGGAGCAACGCCGCGUGAGUGAUGAAGGUCUUCGGAUCGUAAAACUCUGUUAGUAGGGAAGAACAUAGGUGUAAGAAUCUGUGCACAUCUUGACGGUACCUAAACAGGAAGCCACGGCUAACUACGUG
rnacentral:rRNA from 1 species